GGUCAAGUGAAGAAGCGCAUACGGUGGAUGCCUUGGCAGUCAGAGGCGAUGAAAGACGUGGUAGCCUGCGAAAAGCUUCGGGGAGUCGGCAAACAGACUGUGAUCCGGAGAUGUCUGAAUGGGGGAACCCAGCCAUCACAAGAUGGUUAUCUUACACUGAAUACAUAGGUGUAAGAGGCGAACCAGGGGAACUGAAACAUCUAAGUACCCUGAGGAAAAGAAAUCAACCGAGAUUCCCUUAGUAGUGGCGAGCGAACGGGGACCAGCCCUUAAGUUGUAUUGAGAUUAGCGGAACGCUCUGGAAAGUGCGGCCAUAGUGGGUGAUAGCCCUGUACGCGAAAAUCCCUUUGCAAUGAAAUCGAGUAGGACGGGGCACGAGAAACCUUGUCUGAAUAUGGGGGGACCAUCCUCCAAGGCUAAAUACUACUGACUGACCGAUAGUGAACCAGUACCGUGAGGGAAAGGCGAAAAGAACCGCGGAGAGCGGAGUGAAAUAGAUCCUGAAACCGUAUGCGUACAAGCAGUGGGAGCCCACUUUGUUGGGUGACUGCGUACCUUUUGUAUAAUGGGUCAGCGACUUAUUUUCAGUGGCGAGCUUAACCGAAUAGGGGAGGCGUAGCGAAAGCGAGUCUUAAUAGGGCGUCUAGUCGCUGGGAAUAGACCCGAAACCGGGCGAUCUAUCCAUGGGCAGGUUGAAGGUUGGGUAACACUAACUGGAGGACCGAACCGACUACCGUUGAAAAGUUAGCGGAUGACCUGUGGAUCGGAGUGAAAGGCUAAUCAAGCUCGGAGAUAGCUGGUUCUCCUCGAAAGCUAUUUAGGUAGCGCCUCAUGUAUCACUGUAGGGGGUAGAGCACUGUUUCGGCUAGGGGGUCAUCCCGACUUACCAAACCGAUGCAAACUCCGAAUACCUACAAGUGCCGAGCAUGGGAGACACACGGCGGGUGCUAACGUCCGUCGUGAAAAGGGAAACAACCCAGACCGUCAGCUAAGGUCCCAAAGUCAUGGUUAAGUGGGAAACGAUGUGGGAAGGCUUAGACAGCUAGGAGGUUGGCUUAGAAGCAGCCACCCUUUAAAGAAAGCGUAAUAGCUCACUAGUCGAGUCGGCCUGCGCGGAAGAUGUAACGGGGCUCAAACCAUGCACCGAAGCUACGGGUAUCACCUUUGGUGAUGCGGUAGAGGAGCGUUCUGUAAGCCUGUGAAGGUGAGUUGAGAAGCUUGCUGGAGGUAUCAGAAGUGCGAAUGCUGACAUGAGUAACGACAAUGGGUGUGAAAAACACCCACGCCGAAAGACCAAGGUUUCCUGCGCAACGUUAAUCGACGCAGGGUUAGUCGGUCCCUAAGGCGAGGCUGAAAAGCGUAGUCGAUGGAAAACAGGUUAAUAUUCCUGUACUUCUGGUUAUUGCGAUGGAGGGACGGAGAAGGCUAGGCCAGCCUGGCGUUGGUAGUCCAGGUUUAAGGUGGUAGGCUGAGAUCUUAGGUAAAUCCGGGAUCUUAAGGCCGAGAGCUGAUGACGAGUGUUCUUUUAGAACAUGAAGUGGUUGAUGCCAUGCUUCCAAGAAAAGCUUCUAAGCUUCAGGUAACCAGGAACCGUACCCCAAACCGACACAGGUGGUUGGGUAGAGAAUACCAAGGCGCUUGAGAGAACUCGGGUGAAGGAACUAGGCAAAAUGGCACCGUAACUUCGGGAGAAGGUGCGCCGGUGAGGGUGAAGCAUUUACUGCGUAAGCCCACGCCGGUCGAAGAUACCAGGCCGCUGCGACUGUUUAUUAAAAACACAGCACUCUGCAAACACGAAAGUGGACGUAUAGGGUGUGACGCCUGCCCGGUGCCGGAAGGUUAAUUGAUGGGGUUAGCGCAAGCGAAGCUCUUGAUCGAAGCCCCGGUAAACGGCGGCCGUAACUAUAACGGUCAUAAGGUAGAGAAAUUCCAUGUCGGGUAAGUUCCGACCUGCACGAAUGGCGUAACGAUGGCGGCGCUGUCUCCACCCGAGACUCAGUGAAAUUGAAAUCGCUGUGAAGAUGCAGUGUAUCCGCGGCUAGACGGAAAGACCCCGUGAACCUUUACUAUAGCUUUGCACUGGACUUUGAAUUUGCUUGUGUAGGAUAGGUGGGAGGCUUUGAAGCGUGGACGCCAGUCUGCGUGGAGCCAACCUUGAAAUACCACCCUGGCAACUUUGAGGUUCUAACUCAGGUCCGUUAUCCGGAUCGAGGACAGUGUAUGGUGGGUAGUUUGACUGGGGCGGUCUCCUCCUAAAGAGUAACGGAGGAGUACGAAGGUGCGCUCAGACCGGUCGGAAAUCGGUCGUAGAGUAUAAAGGCAAAAGCGCGCUUGACUGCGAGACAGACACGUCGAGCAGGUACGAAAGUAGGUCUUAGUGAUCCGGUGGUUCUGUAUGGAAGGGCCAUCGCUCAACGGAUAAAAGGUACUCCGGGGAUAACAGGCUGAUACCGCCCAAGAGUUCAUAUCGACGGCGGUGUUUGGCACCUCGAUGUCGGCUCAUCACAUCCUGGGGCUGAAGCCGGUCCCAAGGGUAUGGCUGUUCGCCAUUUAAAGUGGUACGCGAGCUGGGUUUAGAACGUCGUGAGACAGUUCGGUCCCUAUCUGCCGUGGACGUUUGAGAUUUGAGAGGGGCUGCUCCUAGUACGAGAGGACCGGAGUGGACGAACCUCUGGUGUUCCGGUUGUCACGCCAGUGGCAUUGCCGGGUAGCUAUGUUCGGAAAAGAUAACCGCUGAAAGCAUCUAAGCGGGAAACUUGCCUCAAGAUGAGAUCUCACUGGAACCUAGAGUUCCCUGAAGGGCCGUCGAAGACUACGACGUUGAUAGGUUGGGUGUGUAAGCGCUGUGAGGCGUUGAGCUAACCAAUACUAAUUGCCCGUGAGGCUUGACCAU
rnacentral:rRNA from 1 species